UACGUAGGGUCCGAGCGUUGUCCGGAAUUACUGGGCGUAAAGCGCACGUAGGCGGCUUGUUAAGUCAGGGGUGAAAUCCUGGAGCUCAACUCCAGAACUGCCUUUGAUACUGGGUAUCUUGAGUAUGGAAGAGGUAAGUGGAAUUGCGAGUGUAGAGGUGAAAUUCGUAGAUAUUCGCAGGAACACCAGUGGCGAAGGCGGCUUACUGGUCCAUUACUGACGCUGAGGUGCGAAAGCGUGGGGAGCAAACAGG
rnacentral:rRNA from 1 species